GAUGAACGCUGGCGGCGUGCCUAAUACAUGCAAGUCGAGCGAACAGACGAGGAGCUUGCUCCUCUGACGUUAGCGGCGGACGGGUGAGUAACACGUGGAUAACCUACCUAUAAGACUGGGAUCACUUCGGGAAACCGGAGCUAAUACCGGAUAAUCUAUUGAACCGCAUGGUUCAAUAGUGAAGGACGGUUUUGCUGUCACUUAUAGAUGUAUCCGCGCCGCAUUAGCUAGUUGGUAAGGUAACGGGUUACCAAGGCAACGAUGCGUAGCCGAACUGAAAGCGUGAUAGGCCACACAGGAACUGAGACACGGUCCAGACUACUAAGGGAGGCAGCAGUCGGGUACAUUCCGCAAUAGGCGAGAGCUUGACGGAGGGAAGACGCGUGAGAGAUGAAGAUCUUCGGAUCGUAAUAAUCUGCUAUUAGGGGAGAACAAAUGUCUAAGUAAACACGGACGUCGUGACGGUAACUAAUAAGAAAGCCACGGCUAACUACGUG
rnacentral:rRNA from 1 species